rnacentral:rRNA from 1 species
UACGUAGGGUGCGAGCGUUAAUCGGAAUUACUGGGCGUAAAGCGUGCGCGAGCGGCUUCGCAAGUCAGACGUGAAAUCCCCGGGCUUAACCUGGGAAUGGCGUUUGAAACUACGGAGCUGGAGUGUGGCAGAGGGAGGUAGAAUUCCACGUGUAGCGGUGAAAUGCGUAGAUAUGUGGAGGAAUACCGAUGGCGAAGGCAGCCUCCUGGGCCAACACUGACGCUCAUGCACGAAAGCGUGGGGAGCAAACAGG